CCCAUUCUUCAGAGGAGAAGGAUGCUCAAAUCCCACCCAUUCUGUCGGGGGUUGAUCAUGUCGUCUGCUUUUGGAUUGGGACAUACUUGAUUCUCCCGUGGCUUUCAAUGAGCAAUUCAAAUGCCCAUUCGAAAAGAACCGCCCAAUCCACCCAUUGACGUCUGCCAUCCCAACCCCACUCAAGCAUUGCGGAUCUUCUGUAUGACCUAAUGCGCGCCGAUCGAGGCAUGAAGAAUCAGUCGCCCGGGCGGUUGUUGUUGUUGUUGUUCAUAGUGUUGAACAUUGCUCCACCCUGCAGCGGCAGUUGCCAAUAGAAAUGAGAUAGGAAAGGGUACCCUCAAUAUUCAUCAAAAUGUGAUAAUAUCCUUUUUGAAGAGGGUGGAAUUCGAAUCCACUAUCUCCUUGUGUCAGCAGUGGUGGCCCAACACCAGGCGCCUACUUGAGAAAGCAUUCCAUGAACAGUGGUUACCACUACGCCAUCCAACCCCACCCUUUUGCGACUAUAUCUACCCUUGGAUAAUGCACACUCUUACCAUGCUAUUGUCUAUGUCACCGGCACCGGAGGCCGCGCGGUGAUAAGCAUCGUUUGACGAUGAACCGAAAUCCCAAGUCCGCUCCCAGCGUGUCAAUUCAAACGAAGAAGGAUGCCGAUCCAUGCUCCCUCUCUCUCUCUCUCCUGAUUGUCCACUGCUGUUUCGUUGUCUUGGGACAACAAAGCUCAAAAGCUUAUCUUCAAAGAGCGCAACGUGAACCGCUGUAAUGAAAAAGAAAAGAAAAGAAAAGAAUGAAUGAUGCUCGCUCUUUAAACGGCUCCUGUACGCCAUUCCUUCGAACAAUGCACAGUGCUGGCCUUGUGGCAGACAAGCUGGACACGCCUAUUCUCACCGCACUUGCAAGUAGCCAAGAGCGAACAUCCUGGUGAGCAAAUCUGGAAGUGCCAGCGUGGGGAAAUUCCCCAUCCAAUUGCCUCACCUAAUAAACAGUCUGGUGAAAAUCAUAUGCACAGUACAAUUUCACAAGGAGCCUGUGGAUUUCUAUCUCCAUUUUCGGAGACGGAUUAAGCCUGAGGCCACUCUUAUCACACGGGAUAGCUUACAGGAGCCGAAAGUUGUUAGGGAAGCCCUUCCUCUUAUAAUUGUUCUCCAUAUUAUCUGUACAUACUUAGGGUUAAGUGUCCACUAUCACUAGAUCCACGUUGGUCCGGAGGCUGCAAGAAACGACGCCUAGCGCCGGCCAAGAGUGUGGAGCUUGCUGUAUAGAAGGUUUGCACUUGAAACAAACAUGGAUGUUUUUAACUAGCUUACUACUCGUAAAGAUAGUGAGUAUCUUUACUUCUUACCCUCUGCACAGAGCUGAUACCUCAUGUUCUUGGGCCAUAAACUGAAGCCUCACUCUACUUUCAUCCUCAGGUUCUUUGAUUUUCUUUACUUCUGAAAAGUCAGAUGCACUCUUUUAUGUGGUAGAACCACAUCAUAACCACUGUAAACGAUGGCUCAAUAUAAUUCUCUAUUGCUCUGUCUCAGCUGUUCCUCACUUAUUCAUCAUUGCUGAUAGCUAGUUAACCUACAGCACGAAGUACAAUUCAAGGGCUUUGUGAUAUUGAAGGAUAGCAUGGAUAGGACGGUACAGUUGGCAGCCAGGCAGACGACAGAAAAGAAAGAACCAGAAGCCACAGAGAUGAAAUUCCGGCAGAACGAUUUCCAAUGAAAGAAGAGCACAAACGAGACUCAGUAUUGGGUGAUAUAAUUGGCGAUCGCCGAUUUCGUUUGAUGCCUGAUAGACCCCUUCUCCCGAAUUAAUCAAUGAUAUUUGCUGCUCCAGUCUUAUGACCGACCGUCCAGUCCAGGUGGUCUGGGACCCGCUUGUGGCACUUCGGGCAGUCGGAUCCAGGCUUUUUGUCCUGAUUCGUAGCCGGCGGCACGUUUGAGCAAUGCUUGUUACGCUCUCCCUUCUCGAAUUUAUCACAAAGUUUGACCUGGUUGACCCAAUGUUUGCAGUCGUCGUACUCCGUGAAGGUAUUUUCGCACAUCUUUACGAUUAUCCUGUCCACCAGUAUUGUUAAUUUUCAUGUAUAAAAUCACAAAUCACAGCUACGCACUACUAUCACUAAGUAGUCCUGUGACUCCUGUCUAACCAAAAUGGAUCUAGGAAUCUUACCUAGAAUAUCUAUGUCGAGAUAUGUGAAGGUAUCCAACGUAUUCAAAAUAGAGAUCGAUGGCUGAAGAGGCGUGAUAGAAAAGGUUCUGAAUGAAAGCGUCCCGGCGAAGUGAAACGAAUAUUCGAAAUAUUUUUGAUGCCUGCUCAAACGAGAUAUAGAAGACGGGAGUCCCAAUAUGCGUCGCAAUAAUUUGGAUGGAUGUAUAGCUUGAUGUGUUUAUAUUCGAAGCUGACCGACGCUAUUUAUUGAAGCAACUUGUUGACUCGGUUUCUACCCAUGAGUUCUCUUCGACAAAUUGUGAAACGAUGCCACUGUGAUAUUUAAGACCCGUGCCGCUUGAAUGAGGGGGAAGAUUCCGAAAAAGAGAAAAGAAAAAUGAACCCAGGCGGCGGUUUCCGCAAACGCUGUUAUCAGGCCCGGCUCUAUACAUACUACUCUUGGGAGUUGGGUAUCAUAUAGAAACAAACAAAGAGUUGUAGCAGUGCUUGACACCCCUCUGGCGUUAAGCAGCAGGUAAUCGCUUGUGAAAAGGGCGGAGGGAGAUAGAUACAUAUCCCGGAUCAAUGUCAGAUGCAUUUUAUGGGCUUUCCCUCAUUACUAAAGAGUUGGAAUGAUAUGGGGAAUGCAUUUAUACUAGCAUAUAACUACCUAACAUACUUCCUAACAGGAUGUAGCAUUGUCGUGCUGGGGGGAGGGGUAUUUCCAGCAAGUUUCCAUCCCUUCGUUUAAUUUAUUAUUACGCCAUGUAUGUAAGGUGUAUAUCCGGAAAUUCAGAUAAAACUGAUG
rnacentral:sRNA from 2 species